rnacentral:rRNA from 1 species
UAGACCUGAAAUCAGUCGAGGUU